rnacentral:lncRNA from 1 species
AAAUCUGAAAGAUUUUGCCUUUUGCUCAAGGUCACACAGCUCAAGUUCACUGUGCAGCUGGAACUAGAGGGUCUGAAUAUACGGAACCCCCCAGCUCCAUCUCAGAAUAAAAGGAAUGAAAACCUGGGGAAAGGAGCCAAGAAGGAAAGCCACAAAUAUGCAUCUGGCCGAGGCAGAGGGAGCAGCUCCAAGAGUCUGCAGAGAUGCACCGUGACUGCUGUUUGCAGAGGUUCAGCUGCCAGAGGCUCGAAUGCACUCCUGGGUCCUGCCCCUGAGAAAUCAGAGCAGGCAACAGAGAAGACACAUGUUCCCUACCAAUUUUUUCUCUGCGCCAAGUCCUUCAAGUUUCUGCAGACAAUGGGGAAGGACAAGAACUAUGGAAUCAGACAAGAGGUGGCUGGAAUUCCAGCUCCCCAACCCAUUAGAUGGGGCCUUGAGCAAGUGACUCAACCUCUCUGAGCCUCAGUCUCUUUGCCUCUUACGUGAGAGGAACGAUAGGACCGUUAUGAGGACCUAUAUAAUGUGUAUUAUAUGAAGCACUUAGCACAGUUCUUGUACCUAGGGCUACAUUAUAACUUUUGUGGGUUUUAGGCAUGUUAGCCUUUUCUGCCAUGAGCCCUUCAGCAAAAACAAAAACAUUAAAAAAUUAAAAAAUAUUUGAUGGCUGCAUUUGUAUAAAAGUGAACACACUAAUAUCGUGUAGUAAAGCUUUUUUUUUUGAGAUGGAGUCUUGCUCUGUGGCCCAGGCUGGAGUGCAGUGGUGUGAUCUCGGCUCACUGCAACCUCUGCCUCCUAGGUUCAAGUGAUUCUCCUGCCUCAGCCUCCUGAGUAGCUGAGAUUACAGGCACCCGCCUCCAUGGCUAGUUAAUUUUUGUAUUUUUUAGUAGAGACGGGGUUUUACCAUGUUGGCUAGGCUGCUCUUGAACUCCCGACCUCAACUGAUCUGCCCGCCUCAGCCUCUCAAAGUGCUGGGAUUACAGGUGUGAGCCACUGCGCCCGGCCAGUACUAAAGCAUUUCUUUUUUAAUCUAAAAAUGUUAUAUAUUGUUUGUUUUGUUUCUACAAAGAAAUUUAAACAUUUCCAUGGGCCCCUAAAAGCACUGGACCUCAGCACUGUGCCUAAUGGACGUUAGCCCUGCUUGUCUCCCAGCUCAAGAUCUGCUUUUAGGGUAGCCCAAACUAAGACGUACAGGCAUGUCUAUGAUGUGUGAGGAGCCACAGCAAAGAG